GUGCUCACUUCAGCAGCACAUAUACUAAAAUUGGAAUGAUACAGAGAUUAGCAUGGCCCCUGCGCAAGGAUGACACACAAAUUCGUGAAGCAUUCCAUAUUUUU
ensembl:snRNA U6 U6 spliceosomal RNA